ACAGGGGCGCCUAUUUAGGCUGAGAUGUAUUUAUACGGUCCCUUAUGACCUGAUCUAGGUAAUUCUAGCGUAGGGAGUCUUCAAAGCU
rnacentral:ncRNA from 1 species